AUUGAACGCUGGCGGCAUGCCUUACACAUGCAAGUCGAACGGCAGCACGGGAGCAAUCCUGGUGGCGAGUGGCGAACGGGUGAGUAAUAUAUCGGAACGUGCCCAGUCGUGGGGAUAACGUAGCGAAAGCUACGCUAAUACCGCAUACGAUCUAAGGAUGAAAGCGGGGGACUCGCAAGGGCCUCGCGCGAUUGGAGCGGCUGAUAUCAGAUUAGGUUGUUGGUGAGGUAAAGACUCACCAAGCCGACGAUCUGUAGCUGGUUUGAGAGAACGACCAGCCACACUGGGACUGAGACACGGCCCAGACUCCUACGGGAGGCAGCAGUGGGGGAAUUUUGGGACAAAUGGGCGAAAGCCUGAUCCAGCAAUGCCGCGUGCAGGAUGAAGGCCU
rnacentral:rRNA from 1 species